rnacentral:rRNA from 1 species
GUUUUAGAGUUUGAUUCCUGGCUCAGAACGAACGCUGGCGGCAGGCUUAACACAUGCAAGUCGAACGCCCCGCAAGGGGAGUGGCAGACGGGUGAGUAACGCGUGGGAAUCUACCGUGCCCUACGGAACAACAGUUGGAAACGACUGCUAAUACCGUAUACGCCCUACGGGGGAAAGAUUUAUCGGGGUAUGAUGAGCCCGCGUUGGAUUAGCUAGUUGGUGGGGUAAAGGCCUACCAAGGCGACGAUCCAUAGCUGGUCUGAGAGGAUGAUCAGCCACAUUGGGACUGAGACACGGCCCAAACUCCUACGGGAGGCAGCAGUGGGGAAUAUUGGACAAUGGGCGCAAGCCUUGAUCCAGCCAUGCCGCGUGAGUGAUGAAGGUCUUAGGAUUGUAAAGCUCUUUCACCCGGAGAAGAAAUGCGGACC